GCUAGUGUAGCUUAAUGUAAAGCAUAGCACUGAAAAUGCUAAUAUAAAACUUAAAAACUUUCACAAGCG
rnacentral:tRNA from 1 species